rnacentral:rRNA from 1 species
AUUCUCUAGUGGCGCACGGGUGAGUAACACGUGAGUAACCUGCCCCCAAGAGUGGGAUAGCCCCGGGAAACUGGGAUUAAUACCGCAUAAAAUCGCAAGAUUAAAGCAGCAAUGCGCUUGGGGAUGGGCUCGCGUCCUAUUAGUUAGUUGGUGAGGUAACGGCUCACCAAGGCGAUGACGGGUAGCCGGUCUGAGAGGAUGUCCGGCCACACUGGAACUGAGACACGGUCCAGACACCUACGGGUGGCAGCAGUCGAGAAUCAUUCACAAUGGGGGAAACCCUGAUGGUGCGACGCCGCGUGGGGGAAUGAAGGUCUUCGGAUUGUAAACCCCUGUCAUGUGGGAGCAAAUUAAAAAGAUAGUACCACAAGAGGAAGAGACGGCUAACUCUGUGCCAGCAGCCGCGGUAAUACAGAGGUCUCAAGCGUUGUUCGGAAUCACUGGGCGUAAAGCGUGCGUAGGCGGUUUCGUAAGUCGUGUGUGAAAGGCGGGGGCUCAACCCCCGGACUGCACAUGAUACUGCGAGACUAGA